rnacentral:rRNA from 1 species
UACGGGGGGCGCAAGCGUUGUUCGGAUUUACUGGGCGUAAAGGGCGCGUAGGCGGCCACCGCAAGUCGACUGUGAAAUCUCCGGGCUUAACCCGGAAAGGUCAGCCGAUACUGCGGGGCUAGAGUGCAGAAGGGGCAACUGGAAUUCUCGGUGUAGCGGUGAAAUGCGUAGAUAUCGUUUGGAACGCCAAUGGUGAAAACAGGUAGCUGGGAGUGUGACGACGCUGAGACACGAAAGCCAGGGGAGCGAACGGG